GCAGCCAUUUAUGCUGCGGCGCCCGGGGAGCAGUUGGGGGGUUCGGUGCCUUGCUCAAGGGCACCUCAGUCGUGGCCAGCCCGAGACUCGAACUCACAACCUUAGGAUUACGAGUCAGACUCUCUGGUGGUGGUAGUAAUACUAGUUAUAGUCAUAGCAGUGGUGGUGCCAAAAGUAAUAGUAGUUACAGCAGUGGUAGUAAUAGUAGUGUUAGUGUUAGCUGGUAGUAGUAGAAGUAGUAAGUGUAUUAAUAGUAGUAGUGGUAGUUGUCCCCUGUGCAAUCAGAGGACAGCUACUUACCAGAAAGGGUGAAGCCAGCCGACUGCAUCUGCUUAAUAACUACAACAGUAUCUGAAGCCCGAAGGAAAACGCUAUCGACCCUCUUCCACAUACACAAGUUAACACAUGGUUGACUGGUGGCCCUGUGAUGUUAAUAUUGCUACUUUAGGUCUAAAAGAUUCUACACUUUUUAUUCUUGGAGUGUUCAUUAAGUUUCCAGAAGAUCUGUGUGUGAUUUCAGCUCAGCUGAGACCUUCAUGACAUCCUGUCUGUGUGUCUCAGUUCUAUUUGCAGGCACGGUUCUCAUGGCGCGGUGCGAGACUGUUGAGGCCGCUGUUGCAGUUCCUGCUGGUGAUGUUAGCCGUGUACACCGGGCUCAGCCGGAUCUCCGACUACCGCCAUCAUCCCUCUGAUGUCCUCACUGGCUUCCUGCAGGGAGGAAUCACUGCAUACUGGGUGGCAUUCCACAUCUCCUCCAUGUUUAAAACCUGUCCUGCAGACUGCUCGCCUAACUGUCUCCCCCUGGACAGCCCUAUGUCUCUGUCCAGCCGUCAGACAGAGUGCUAGCGACUAGUCUUAGGACACAAAGAUACACGGCGCUGCCUUGAUGUUUGAACCGAACCGAUUGACAUCAGUCGAUGGACACGGACAAGCUUUGGGAAGGUAGAGGAAGAGGAGGAGGAGGAGAAGAAUGUCCAGAGGAAUGUCCACAUAUACAUACCGUCCCACUGCCUACGAGUCCUGCAUAAAUAAGAUAUAUGACACAGAUAUUAUUUUUUGUCUUCUAUGUGAGCCUUUAUGUUUAUAUUUUACUUUAAACAUCCAGUAAAUAUGUAGUCGAAGCUGCUAAUAAUUGUAUUAUUCCGUAGUGACACUUAUACAGGAGCCUCUGUGGAGUUAUGUGGAGAAUCCACAGGUCAAUCGCCUGCAGCUUAUUGGAGCGAUGCCACUUUGACGGACAGACGUACUGACCAAUCACGAGAGUUCUGUGGUUACAAGAGACACCGGGCUUCAUUUAUUAAACUUUAUACCGAUUCGUUUAUUUGUAAAUCGCUUAUUUCACAGGACACGGUAUCGUCUUCGAAUCCCGUCAUUAUCCAUGAUGGAGUUACUGAGAUUUUAAGUUUAAAUUGCAUAUUUAUUUCAGUUACACACUCAGUUCCAUGUUACAUCAGCUACACAUCAGGAAGUGAAUCCAAAACAUAAUCCGUAAAUUAAGAAAAAAUAGACUAGCCGAUUAAUUAGGACAAAAGUUUUGGCGCCCUGUAAAAGGAAGAAGAGUUUGUGUGUGUGUGUGUGUGUGUGUGUGUGUGUGUGUGUGUUCAGCACCUGAUGCUC